GGUGGUAGAUCCUCCACAACCGAUGCAUCCCCUACACCAGUUCUUAAUCCUGAAUUAACAACUCCACCAUCAGCGGAUGAUGACAGCAACAGUAACUUGAGUUUAAGUACUAUCUUAAUCACGAGAAGUUUUAUUUACUAUCAGCUUUAUGGUUGCAGAAAGGAAUCGAGCUCGAGGAGUGUGGAUUUCAAUAAAUAUUAAACUGUGCAAUUAUAUGUCAAAUCUUUUUUCUAAACUUUGAUUUUUAUUUUAACUGUGAGCCAUUGAUAAU